rnacentral:rRNA from 1 species
CCUACGGGUGGCAGCAGUGGGGAAUAUUGGACAAUGGGGGGAACCCUGAUCCAGCCAUGCCGCGUGUGUGAAGAAGGCCCUCGGGUUGUAAAGCACUUUCAGUGAGGAAGAACGCCUGGUGGUUAAUACCCAUCAGGAAAGACAUCACUCACAGAAGAAGCACCGGCUAACUCCAGUGCCAGCAGCCGCGGUAAUACGGAGGGUGCGAGCGUUAAUCGGAAUUACUGGGCGUAAAGCGCGCGUAGGUGGCUUGAUAAGCCGGUUGUGAAAGCCCCGGGCUCAACCUGGGAACGGCAUCCGGAACUGUCAAGCUAGAGUGCAGGAGAGGAAGGUAGAAUUCCCGGUGUAGCGGUGAAAUGCGUAGAGAUCGGGAGGAAUACCAGUGGCGAAGGCGGCCUUCUGGACUGACACUGACACUGAGGUGCGAAAGCGUGGGUAGCAAACAGGAUUAGAUACCCGGGUAGUC